GCAGUCGAACGCUUCUUUCCUCCCGAGUGCUUGCACUCGAUUGGAAAGAGGAGUGGCGGACGGGUGAGUAACACGUGGGUAACCUACCCAUCAGAGGGGGAUAACACUUGGAAACAGGUGCUAAUACCGCAUAACAGUUUAUGCCGCAUGGCAUAAGAGUGAAAGGCGCUUUCGGGUGUCGCUGAUGGAUGGACCCGCGGUGCAUUAGCUAGUUGGUGAGGUAACGGCUCACCAAGGCCACGAUGCAUAGCCGACCUGAGAGGGUGAUCGGCCACACUGGGACUGAGACACGGCCCAGACUCCUACGGGAGGCAGCAGUAGGGAAUCUUCCGCAAUGGACGAAAGUCUGACCGAGCAACGCCGCGUGAGUGAAGAAGGUUUUCGGAUCGUAAAACUCUGUUGUUAGAGAAGAACAAGGACGUUAGUAACUGAACGUCCCCUGACGGUAUCUAACCAGAAAGCCACGGCUAACUACGUGCCAGCAGCCGCGGUAAUACGUAGGUGGCAAGCGUUGUCCGGAUUUAUUGGGCGUAAAGCGAGCGCAGGCGGUUUCUUAAGUCUGAUGUGAAAGCCCCCGGCUCAACCGGGGAGGGUCAUUGGAAACUGGGAGACUUGAGUGCAGAAGAGGAGAGUGGAAUUCCAUGUGUAGCGGUGAAAUGCGUACAUAUAUGGAGGAACACCAGUGGCGAAGGCGGCUCUCUGGUCUGUAACUGACGCUGAGGCUCGAAAGCGUGGGGGAGCAAACAGGAUUAGAUACCCUGGUAGUCCACGCCGUAAACGAUGAGUGCUAAGUGUUGGAGGGUUUCCGCCCUUCAGUGCUGCAGCAAACGCAUUAAGCACUCCG
rnacentral:rRNA from 1 species